GGGUGAUGAGAAGCAACUUUUCUAUGUUAUCUUCCUGCUUAUUUGCAUGACAUUGGUUAUUUUAUUUAUGAGGUAUUAUGUUUUAUCAUUUGCUGCAUCAUAUUUUAUGAUUAUGAUAAACCCUAUAGAUUUGGAUAAUGAUUUUAGGACCAUGAUGAGAUCAUUCCAUUAAGACCUAAAAUCUUGAUAGUUUCAAUCUAAAAUAUUUUCAAUCAUUGGAUCAUCGAGUCAGAGAUCGAUGAUAUAGAUAAGACUAAUACAUCCUAUGUAUGCUCAAUGGAGAGGGUGAUUGAUCUCACAAUCACUUGUGUGGUGACACUA
rnacentral:lncRNA from 1 species